rnacentral:rRNA from 1 species
AACGAACGCUGGCGGCAUGCCUAACACAUGCAAGUCGAACGAGACCUUCGGGUCUAGUGGCGCACGGGUGCGUAACGCGUGGGAACCUGCCCUUAGGUUCGGAAUAACUCCCCGAAAGGGGUGCUAAUACCGGAUAAUGUCUUCGGACCAAAGAUUUAUCGCCUUUGGAUGGGCCCGCGUUGGAUUAGCUAGUUGGUAGGGUAAAAGCCUACCAAGGCGACGAUCCAUAGCUGGUCUGAGAGGAUGAUCAGCCACACUGGGACUGAGACACGGCCCAGACUCCUACGGGAGGCAGCAGUGGGGAAUAGUGGACAAUGGGCGAAAGCCUGAUCCAGCAAGGCCGCGUGAGUGAUGAAGGCCGUAGGGUUGUAAAGCUCUUUUACCCGGGAUGAUAAUGACAGUACCGGGAGAAUAAGCUACGGCUAACUCCGUG